CCUACGGGUGGCAGCAGUGGGGAAUAUUGCACAAUGGGGGAAACCCUGAUGCAGCGACGCCGCGUGAGUGAAGAAGUAUUUCGGUAUGUAAAGCUCUAUCAGCAGGGAAGAAAUAGCGACCUUUGGGUCGCCAGACGGUACCUGAUUAAGAAGCCCCGGCUAACUACGUGCCAGCAGCCGCGGUAAUACGUAGGGGGCAAGCGUUAUACGGAUUUACUGGGUGUAAAGGGAGCGUAGACGGCAGCGCAAGUCUGAAGUGAACUGCCGGGGCUUAACCCCGGAACUGCUGUGGAUACUGUGCAGCUAGAGUGCAGGAGAGGGAAGUGGAAUUCCUAGUGUAGCGGUGAAAUGCGUAGAUAUUAGGAGGAACACCAGUGGCGAAGGCGGCUUACUGGACUGUAACUGACGUUGAGGCUCGAAAGCGUGGGGAGCAAACAGGAUUAGAUACCCUUGUAGUC
rnacentral:rRNA from 1 species